AUACACAACCAAACAACAAGAAACCUUAUUCACAGCCACGACGGAAUCGCUGAGACCAUUGCGUCUUACCGGAAUGGAACUCCGACGCGGAGACAAUCGGCGACAGUAGAACCGCUUUGGUGGUGAAGUUGUGGAUCGAUGUACGGUGUGAGCUUGGCGGCGUGAGGAUCUGAAAUGGAAAUGCAUGAUGAAUCGAUUGCGAGAAGGUGAAGAAAACAAGACUGAAAGAGUGAAGGAUUGGAGAUUUUGAAGUUUUUUUGAAGAAACUGCAGAAUCUCAG
rnacentral:lncRNA from 1 species